ACAGGGAUUGCCCUAGUAACGGCGAGUGAAGCGGCAACAGCUCAAAUUUGAAAUCUGGCGUCUUCGGCGUCCGAGUUGUAAUUUGCAGAGGGCGCUUUGGCAUUGGCAGCGGUCCAAGUUCCUUGGAACAGGACGUCACAGAGGGUGAGAAUCCCGUACGUGGUCGCUAGCCUUUACCGUGUAAAGCCCCUUCGACGAGUCGAGUUGUUUGGGAAUGCAGCUCUAAAUGGGAGGUAAAUUUCUUCUAAAGCUAAAUACUGGCCAGAGACCGAUAGCGCACAAGUAGAGUGAUCGAAAGAUGAAAAGCACUUUGGAAAGAGAGUUAAAAAGCACGUGAAAUUGUUGAAAGGGAAGCGCUUGCAGCCAGACUUGCCUGUAGUUGCUCAUCCGGGUUUCUACCCGGUGCACUCUUCUAUAGGCAGGCCAGCAUCAGUUUGGGCGGUUGGAUAAAGGUCUCUGUCAUGUACCUCCUUUCGGGGAGAUCUUAUAGGGGAGACGACAUGCAACCAGCCUGGACUGAGGUCCGCGCAUCUGCUAGGAUGCUGGCGUAAUGGCUGUAAGCGGCCCGUCUUGAAACACGGACCAAGGAGUCUAACAUCUAUGCGAGUGUUUGGGUGUCAAGCCCGAACGCGUAAUGAAAGUGAACGGAGGUGGGAACCUUUCGGGGUGCACCAUCGACCGAUCCUGAUGUCUUCGGAUGGAUUUGAGUAAGAGCAUAGCUGUUGGGACCCGAAAGAUGGUGAACUAUGCUUGAAUAGGGUGAAGCCAGAGGAAACUCUGGUGGAGGCUCGCAGCGGUUCUGACGUGCAAAUCGAUCGUCAAAUUUGGGCAUAGGGGCGAAAGACUAAUCGAACUAUCUAGUAGCUGGUUCCUGCCGAAGUUUCCCUCAGGAUAGCAGUAACGUUUUCAGUUUUAUGAGGUAAAGCGAAUGAUUAGAGGCCUGGGGGUUGAAACAACCUU
rnacentral:rRNA from 3 species